CUACGGGAGGCACCAGUAGGGAAUAUUGGACAAUGGGCGAAAGCCUGAUCCAGCAACACCGCGUGCACGAUGACGGCCUUCGGGUUGUAAAGUGCUUUUAGAGGAGAUGAGAAAGGACAGUAUCCUCUGAAUAAGCCUCGGCGAACUACGUGCCAGCAGCCGCGGUAAAACGUAGGAGGUAAGCGUUAUCCGGAUUUAUUGGGCGUAAUGCGCGUGCAGGCGGUCUAGCAAGUUGGAUGUGAAAGCUCCCGGCUCAACUGGGAGAGGUCGUUCAAUACUGUUAGACUAGAGAAUAGGAGAGGGAGGUGGAAUUCCGGGUGUAGUGGUGAAAUGCGUAGAUAUCCGGAGGAACACCAGUGGCGAAAGCGGCCUCCUGGACUAUUUCUGACGCUAAGACGCGAAAGCUAGGGUAGCAAACGGGAUUAGAUACCCCCGUAGUC
rnacentral:rRNA from 1 species